AACUAACCCAAUGUCACAUAUUGUAUACAUAUAUGUAUCAUGUUUUCCUAAGCUGAUUUCAUAUCCUACGUAAUAAGUUAAGAUCGUCAUUGAUCAUACCGAUGUUAAGAUAUUGGCAUCAGAGCUCUAUGGUGGAUAGUCUGUCACAUAAUUUUAACGGAUCAUCGUAUUAUGUUAUGCUAUUGACUCCAAAGUUUGAACCGUGGUGGAUAAUUUCGAAUUCUAGCUCACUCAAACCAGCUCUUUUUUCGACAGGUUGAAUCAGCACCAGUAGUAUUGCCCGCAGAGACUACCGAGGCACCGGCUGCGAUCGCCGCUGCGGAGGAGACGGUCAAGGAGCCUGUGGAAGUGGAAGCGGAAGCAGUAGCAGUACCAGAGCCGGAAGUCGUACCGGCUGUACCAGCUGAGACAGAGGCUAAGGAGGAAGAAGCUGCUGUUGGGAAAACAGAGGAAGUUGCUGCUGCUCCUGUUGAAGCAGAGGAGGUUAAGGAAGUAGAAGCUGAAGCCGAGAAGGUUGAGGAGCCGGCUUCCGCCGUCGCUGUUGAGGAGCCAGUUUCCGCUGCCGCAGCCGUGGAGGAAACGGCACCGGAACCCGAAUCUGAGCCGGCUGUUGCUGAGGAGCCAGCUGCUGCUCCAGCUGAAGAACCAGUUGCAGAAGCUGUGGCGGAGCCAGUUGAGGAGCCAGCUGCAACAGAGGCAGAAGUUAUUGUGGAUAAGACUGAGGCCUGAAGAACUCGGUCGGGUAUUGGAUUAAUAUAUGGGGGGUUAUGUUUUUAGUAUGAAGAAGAUUAUCUCUGUUACUGUUUUUUGUUCUUUCUUUACUGGUUUAAGAAGUUUGGUGUGUUCUGGUGAUGGAUAGUAAUGUAUGGGGGAUGUGUUGUGGGUCCACGUAAGCAUUUUGUGGCGCCAUGUGGGUUUACAUAAUUGGGUGAGUUUCAAGAUUAAUUUUAUAUAAUUUGAUGAAACUUUGAUUUAUAUUACUAUACUUGGUAUGUGUUUUGUUUGCUGAUCGCAGCUCUUUCAAUGUACUUUGUGAUUAUAAUGGGAUUAUAAAGAUAUCGACCAGACCUUACAAUCGAUGUUGGGUAUAAACGAUUUAGCACGAAACUGCGAUAUCAUAUCCGCUAUAGUGUUUCGAACGAUUCACCCAUAUACUCUCUAGUGUUUUCAAACAAUCGGAGCUCACAACGCCUGCAAGGUUUGCCGUUGCUACCCUAAAUCAAGGGAAGACUUACAAAGGCAAGAAGAAAAUGCAGAAGAUGACAUUAUGGUUCCGAAAAUCAAUCACUUGAAGAAGAUAUAUCGACAGGAUCGGUGAGAUCAACGACUCAAACCACACCAAUAGGACCAACCAAUAACGAUGGCAUUGCAUGAUUCUGUCUACUUACAGCAAAAAGAAAAACAGAUCUUGCAGCUUCUCUAUUAAAUCCUUAUACUGCCGACCCAUACUAAAUUCGACAGGCUCGAUCGUCUACCGAAACAAAAAACAGAAGUUUGCAAUGACAUCAAACUUUGCAGAUCGCGAUGAACAAUGUAAAGACAAUUAAAAACCGCACCCUCCUCCUUAACAUAAAUAAUCCCUAUCUGUACAGCCUGAUUUUUUUUAGUUUCACUUCUUGUCUAUGUGCAGUUACCAACGCCUCCAUUUCCCGCGCCAUUGACUGUAAUUUCACCAGGUGCCGAAGCUGCAACCAAUAUGCUCUUGGGUUAUGACGCGGAGUCGAUCUUGCAUGAUGUCCAUGGAUGGAUAGGGUGGGAAGCACAGCCUGUAGAAGCAUGUAUGGGACGAAGGGAGACGAUCUUGUGGCUCCGUGGACUUGUAUAUGUAUAGACGAGAAGCAAGUCCUCGGAAACCUUCAACCGGUAGGUAUUUAAUUGAUGUCCAGAAGAAGAGCAAUACUUUCCUCCGCUCGGCUGGCAUUUCCUCAACAAUCUACAAACAUUUUACAGAAAUAUCUUCAGGAAGUAAAUCUAACACCCAUCCGAUCUCAAUCACAGACUGCCAAAACCUACAGUUAUCUCGAGACAUAAUCUUCGACACAUAUAGUUAUCAGGAUGCAAAUGUACAUUCUCAAGACCCCUAUCAGUACAGCUAGAGGACCAACCAUAUGUUCACAAAUUUACAGAUUGGAUGGGAGCUUACGUAUCGAGCCUAUAUUAUUUACAUGGUGGGUUUCUACUUCGAGCGCAAAAAGUUUGGAAUGCAUCACUAUUGUAUAGAAAUAAUCAACAUUCUCGCCUGAACUAGACAGACAAAUCGAAACAGGCACGUACAAGAAUGGUUAUCAAUAUUUUAAGACAAAUUCCAUUGAAGAAUUCAAAAUGAAGAGAUUGUUAACCAUACCUUCCAGAACCAGGAUAUUUGGGGAUCUGUUUCUUUGAAGCCAUUGUACUCAGUAUGUGCCUUCCAGUCUUCAACACAGAUUGCGCUUUCACUUCCGUAAAGCAUCCAAUCAAGGUCUUCUAGCUCCAAGCUUUGGAAAAAAGAGUGUCGGAAACUUCCAUUGGAAAGAAUAUCAGUGAAUCCUUUUGCAAAAUGUGAGACCUGCUCAGAGAUGGAUGUGACAAAUCGAUGCCGAACCAGAAGGGUUACGUACUCCCCUCUGUUCUUGCUAUUCACUACGAUGUUUUUCCCUCCAGGACGGAGUUCUACAACGUUCCUGGAUCCCAACUCCUCGACUUCUCUAACAAAUGUCAGCCCUAAAGCAUCGGAAUCAAUAAACUCGGCAUCCAUAUCCAGGAUUUGCUUGCAGCUACUGUACAGGAUCGGAUCAGCAUCCUUUAUGUCUUCCAAAUAUAUAGGCCCUCCAGCUAAUUGUAAGAAAAGGACCCGAUCUAGGACUAUGCCCACUUGCACUUUGUGCAUCAAAGCUAAUGCAAUCACUCGACCGGAAAAGGCGAAAUACUCGAGAUGCCUAGGUUCAACCUUCGAAGCUGUAGAUCCAUAAUGAAAAUAAAGAAAAGAUCAAUGAAGAAAGGAGAACCUGAAACGUAUAUUUCAAUUAGCAAAGAGGAAACAUCUUUAAGUAAACACAAGAUGCUCAUCACCACAAAAUCGAGCAGAAUAGCACCACAGUAUGCCUUCUUAACCCGACUGAAUUAAUAACACCUGGAUGAGGUCAAAAUCACAGAAAUCUACAUAAUGUGUAUGCAUAAUAUCUUAUUAAAUGGUGCAAUCCCUUUGUUGUCCAGCAUUUCCUACUUCAACUCAAUAGCAACUAAUUCAUUGACAUUGUUUUUAGCAAAGUAAGAAGACACUAACUGUUCAAUUAUGCAUCUCAAUACAUUCAUUGGGUUGCAGGGGUAAAAACAAAGGCAAUGAUCAAUCUCCCAUGAAGAAUAGUAUAAACAGUGUUUAAUCCACAAGUACUGUUUCAUGACCUCGGGCCAGUAAAAGCACAAGAGCAGCUGGUUUUAGCUAUGUCGAUAUAGAGUUUUAGUAGCAAAAGCAUCCUGAGUCAAACAACAAGGGAACUAUACAUAAUCCCUAUGCGUUCUGGUCCAGUGGAGAAGUGUUAGAUUAUGUACGAGACUAAUUAAUCCUACCAUAGUUAGAGAUAACUAUGAGAUUGUAUAGGAGUUGGCAGAUGAUAGCAGUUAGAUAAGCUCUACUAGAUAGACAUUAGUAGAACUCCGAUAUAUUAUAGGAGUUAUGAUAGGAUCAGAGUUACCUAGCGUUGUAUAUUUCCAGAGUAGUUGCUCACUAAAUAAUAUAACGUUUAUGGUAUCAAAGCCUAAAAUACCCCCCAAAACCUCUUCUUGUGGUCCUCUACUCCUCCUGCAACAUUGUCGACUGAUUCUGGAAAGUCAACAGCUGAGUCUAGUAAUACUAGUCCCUCUACUAUUACUACUUCUGAGCCUUAGAUGCUGACAGACAAUCCUCAACUGCAGACUACAACCAUCAAGCUGAAUGCGACGAACUAUGAGACGUUGUUGAAGUCAUGCGUAUGUACAGGCAAAUAAAAGCACUCUGAAACUGUAAACCAUUACCCAAACAGAGGAACCCACACAGGACACAUGAUGUUCAUAAUAGUUCCACAUGAAUUAAGGACACUACUUCAAAAGCUAUAACUAUAAUUGGUAGCACAUGUUCUAGAAUCAUGAUCAUCGAAGUUUUGACUGCACAUUUUGUAACCAAAAGCAACAUAAGAUGUAGAAUCAUACCAGGGUUAGGGUGGAACCUUCUGCGAUCACUUGGGCAUGCUAGAAAAAGAGCAUUAUGAGGGUUGAAAAUAGCCUGUGUAACCAAGAGAAACCACUCACGUAAUACACCAGGACCAGUAGCUUCCUCAUUCUUGAACUCCAUAAACAAACCUCCAUGCAAAGAAUCUGGUUCGGCACGACCAAUGUAUGCAAAUGACUCCUCCAGCAGGUUAGCCCUGUCAAUAAGCAUUUCAUGCAGCUCUUCAUAGUCUUCUUUCACCUCAGGGAACAUCAUCAUAGCCAAAUGUCUUCUUGACUCAAAAUCCGUCACAUCCUUGUGUUUGAGGAGCCACUGAUGAUCCUCAGCUCUCUUUGCAUAUUUGACAAUCAAAACACAAAUAGAAGCCUUUCUAAGCCUCAAAAUUGUCCAGAAUUGUUCUUCGGAAUCCUUGUAGAGCUUAGCUAUUUCAUUCAAUUCCUUCAAAAUGGCAAGAUACUGAGACCAUGAGGUACUGCUCAACUCACACUCUCCACUUGACUUCAAAAGCGAGGAGCCCUCCACCUUCAUAAGGCAUUGAUCCAUCUUUGUCAAUAAGUCCCUAAAUAUAACACUAAGCUGCUCCAUCUCUCCGGCAUAUAACAGAUGGUCAACACCUUUCUUGUUCAAAGGCAUUGUAACAGGCCGUCCCACUUGCUCCGAUAUAGCCAUUCGUAAAGGUGUCAAGAAUGCAGAGAAGUCACGGACAUCACAUCCUAAUGGUCCUAAACUCACUGGAGUUUUCAGACUUGAACCCAGAUCAUUGGACAACCUAGUAGCUAACUCUUGAACAAACGGAAAAAUCUCUGCUAUCGUAAUCGACCCCUUUGCAUCAUCCGCUCCCACCCCAUUCUUAGAUGACCAACGCCACCCAGAAUCAUUAUCCAACAAUGAACCAAGAGUAUUCCGACAGCAAAGAUAUAGAGGAUCGUCAUUAGCAACCUUCCUAAGCAACUUGCAAAAUUCUAAUACUAUAGGUGUACACUUCGCAUGCAAUGGCUUCGGUAAAGAGAUCCUACAUGAAUUCAAGAAGUGCCUAAUCGAACUAUCAGCACAAUCACUGUUACCUUUGUUGGUCGAGACAUACAGCAUCGUCAAUGUCUCUGGAGCAGAGCAGGACAUGAAAAUCUCAAAAUGCCCAGUUGCAUCUUCCGUUUCACUAUUUGCAGCCAGCUUGAAGAACUCGCUAAUCAAAUCCUUGAUAUGCUUAGGCGCAUAAGAAUAAGCUGGCAUUCCACUUUUACACAGCCUCCAGAUAAACAUUACCAUGUCCUCGACUACCCGACAAGUCUGCGGAUGCUUAGUGCUCCUCAUCCGUGCAACUAAGUGAAGUGUGGCAUCCUUCUGAAUUCCACACUUUGCCACUGAUUGAUCUAGCUGCAGCUGCUUCCCGUUGUAAAUUAACCUCAUCUGGUAAGAAGAAAUCCCAGUGAUCACCUGAAUUCUCUCCAUAAUAGACUCCACGGUAUCCUCCGGGCUAGCGUAGACAACAACAUGUUUACCUUCAGCGAUCAUCCGGACGAAGAACUGGAUCUUCGAAACCGAGGAUUCUCCACACGCUUGAAAACCCGAAGUCGCAUAUGAACACGAAGCCAUAGUCGAGAGGGACACGACCCCUUCCAAAUCAUCGUCGGUAAACGGCGGCCGAUUCUUAUUCUGAGAGUCGGAUGAAGAGUUAACGGCGAGGAGGGAAUCGUCCUUCCGCAUCCUCACGCUCACCAGGUCGUCCCAAAUGUCGAGGUCAUCGUCGUCCUCGAUGGAGGACACGUAGUCGUCCAACUUGCGCUUCGCCGAGGCGCGGUACUCGCUGGAGGCGGCGGCGGCGCCACUGACGACGGGGCUGGCAGCAGUGCGAUGAGAGGGACUAUCGCUGGCCGAUGAUCGUGAUUGAGACAUCUGACGGUGGAAGCAAAAGCCCCGCCGCCCCGCGCGGCGGGGGAAAUAGCAGGNNNNNNNNNNNNNNNNNNNNNNNNNNNNNNNNNNNNNNNNNNNNNNNNNNNNNNNNNNNNNNNNNNNNNNNNNNNNNNNNNNNNNNNNNNNNNNNNNNNNNNNNNNNNNNNNNNNNNNNNNNNNNNNNNNNNNNNNNNNNNNNNNNNNNNNNNNNNNNNNNNNNNNNNNNNNNNNNNNNNNNNNNNNNNNNNNNNNNNNNNNNNNNNNNNNNNNNNNNNNNNNNNNNNNNNNNNNNNNNNNNNNNNNNNNNNNNNNNNNNNNNNNNNNNNNNNNNNNNNNNNNNNNNNNNNNNNNNNNNNNNNNNNNNNNNNNNNNNNNNNNNNNNNNNNNNNNNNNNNNNNNNNNNNNNNNNNNNNNNNNNNNNNNNNNNNNNNNNNNNNNNNNNNNNNNNNNNNNNNNNNNNNNNNNNNNNNNNNNNNNNNNNNNNNNNNNNNNNNNNNNNNNNNNNNNNNNNNNNNNNNNNNNNNNNNNNNNNNNNNNNNNNNNNNNNNNNNNNNNNNNNNNNNNNNNNNNNNNAGGUGGCACCGGCGGUCACGUGAGUGCGGUGAUGUGGAUGUAGUCAACGGUUGUGGUUCGAAGUUGGUAGGUAAGCGUAGACUUGACUGUUGUACCAGAGCCGUUUCUCAAAUACUCUUCGUGUAUUGGUGAACGCUUGGAUACCCUCCUGCAUGUACCGCUACCUGAUACGUAGUAUAAUACUAUUGACAUUUAUAAUUAAUGUCGAGAUUUGAUAAAUAUGUAUAUACAAUAUAUUUAAUAUUAAACUUCCAUCCCAAUAAUUAUUUAACCAUUUUUAUCCAUCAAAUAGAAAUUGAUAGUUCUAGCUGAUGAUUUUGAGGCAAGACUUUCUGCAAAUGCAAUGAAGAAGUAAACUUACAGUCAAAACAUGGACGACGAAGAUGCAACCUUUAUUUUCUGAUCAUCCAUUUUCAACGAUGUUGCAAUUUGGAACCCGCACCCACUUGUUAGACAUAACGACGGAUCCAAGACACGAAGAUUAAGAAAUUGAAAAACACAAGAUAUAACGUGCUCGCUUACCGAUCGUGUGAGCUAAUUUACGAGAGAAGAUGUGUGUGAUUUGUAUUACGAUGAGAGGAGGCACAAAAGGAGAUUAAUUUGUAUUACGAUGAGAGGAGACGAUGACGAGGAGGCGCAGACGGAGAUUUGUAUUACGAUGAAAGGAAGCGCAAUUGAAGAUCUGUAUUACGAUGAGAAGAGGUGAUGCGAUGAGGCGCAAAAGGAUAUGUACACAUUCCAGUACUAGAGCUUACUUAUAUACUAGAUCUAGGGUUUGCAAUACGCGGCCGAGACUCCCUAAACUAACUACUAUAUGAGGCCAAUCGGGCCCAUUGGGCCGAUUAUAUUAGCACCCCUCUUAAAUUGACGAAGAUUAUACAUCAUCAGUUUUCCUGAUAAUAAAAAUUAAUGUCGACUUGUAUCAACCGCUUUAGUAAGAAUGUCAAUAAGCCGGGUCUUCGAAGCUCAAGCAAAAAAAGGAAUGUUCAUAAAGUUAUCCCCACUGUCAUCACUGAAGUCCAAGAAGGCUCAUGUAAGGAAAAAGGUCGCAAAAGCAAAUCAGGUCAUGAAGGAUGCGCACAUGAAGCAUUUGGAGUAUCUGGGGGCAUGCCGGCGUGCAAGAGGAUACAUGGAUAUUGCUAGCAUGACAUACGAGAACAACUCGACCUAUCGGAACCACUACCCCAUGUGAAGAUUGGACCUGGUCAAGAAAGCAAUGAGAAAUGUUGCGACUGGCCCUGACCGAGGCCACUGCGAGACUCAUGAGGCCAUCAUUAGGCCACCAAAGUCAUCGCGACCAACACUAGGACCACAACAACAAUUUGCCGCAAGGGCAUCACUAAAGCCAUCGCAACACCGCACCAAGACCACACCAAUUAAGUGGACUUCACACCAAUUUAAUCGUAGCUCAAAUUUACGGGCACAAGGAGAAACCCAAACACCUAGAGGCGCCCUAGAUUGUAUUCAAGGUCCGAGCCCGAUUCAGUGUCGCUCGGCUCUUAUCACAUGUCCCCCGAGAAUUGAUAAGAUCUCAAAUAUAGUGAAUAUGUGCAUGAUGAAUAUGUAAAUAUGCUACAAACCUUGUCAUGAAGCGAUUUUGAAUCGCACAGUAUUAUUCUAUCUAUAAAAAGAGAAUAUGAAUUACUAUUGAAUGAAUAAUGUUUGGUUUUGUUCAGAAGGUUUUAUUUUAAGUUUACUAAGGCUUUAUUUUGAGGUUACGAUACUUUAUUUUGAGCUCACAUAUUAUCCUUUAUGGGUCUUGUGAUAUUUUCCAUUCUUCAAUUGACAUGCCUUAAAUUGUCUCGUGCUUUCAUUUUGCUAAUACGUUUUCUAUAACAAAAAAAAUUCUAUCUAUAAAAGGAGAACAUGAAUUACUAUUGAAUUAAUGGUAUUUGGUUCUCUUAUAAGGGCUUUAUUUUGAUUUUACUAGAGCUUUAUUUUGACUUAACUGAGACUUUAUUUUGAGUUUAUGGGGGCUAUACUUUAAACUCAUAUAUUACCCUUUACGGGUCAUGUGGUAUUUUCCAUUUUUCAAUUGUCAUGCUUUAAAUUGUCUCGCGCUUUCAGUUUGCUAAUGUGUUUUCUAUAACAAAAUAAAAAGUUCAUCUAUCUUCACUUAUUCUCUAAAAAUUUAUAAAGAAUUGCACGGAUAUUUUAGCUAUCAUAAAUAGAUGAUAGUAUUUGAUAAUAAAAAAAGACGAUAGUAUCGUUUUGAUAUACUAUUUCUUAUGAUAUUAGUCAAGAUAGGUUAUUCAAAGCCCGGUUUGAUCGAGUCGAGUCGGGUUAAGCCCGAUCGGGUGAUGCGAAAAAUGCUGAGGCUAUGACUUUACUGGAGGCAAUGAGAUGGGCUCGGAUUGGGAGCUUGGCGAAUAUUGUUUUCGAGACAGACUCGCAGAUUGUUGUUAAGGCGGUGCAGCGAGCUAUCGAAGAUACCAUAGAGUUCGAAAUUAUGAGAUUCUGCCACUAAACUUUGAUGUAUCUACAGACCAAACUGUUGUUCUUUUGUAUACAAUUCGGACUCGUUAGCCUUUGCCGAUUUGAUCCACCAAAUCCUUGGACAAGCAUGCUUACUUAAUGUAAUAAUGUUACAAAGGUUACAAGCUGCCGGGAGGAGUAGAGAGGUCAAAUUGGUCAAAUUGCAUCCUGGAAGCCGUUUCAGUCUGGAGCUUGCUCUGGAGCUUCUCGGAGUUGGACAUGAAUGCCUCCGUGAACUUCUCCUCCUGCUCCGUCACCACGUCCAUGUUCCGCCUCACCACGGGGUCGUUCAGCUUCGACAUCCAGCUGUACGGUCGUCCUAGGUGGCGUCGUUGAAGGUGAAGGUUUGCGGCUUUUGCGGCGGCUUUGGGGGUUUCGGGGGGACCGGAGGAUUCGUCUGCCUAGGUGCCCUGUAAUGGCGGAGGAACCGGGUCAUCGAUGGGAGGCGGCGGAUGGAAGAUAGAAGGUUUGGCAUUUUUUCUCCCGGCGGCGGGAGUUUUUGGCGGAGGGGGGAAUUUACCCGCGGGGUUUUUGUGAAGAAAGGGUUUUAGGGCUAAAUAUCCAUUGUGAUCAUCUAGUUGUUGGAUUUGUGACAACAUGGUUAUCAAAUUUGUAAAAUUUAACCUACAUGUAACUAAUUUAUUUCAAUGAUAAAAAGUGUUCAUUCGACAAUUGUUUUAAUUUUUUGUUUUCACCUCAUUCAACGAGAAAAAUUUAAGAAAACGUACUAAAAAAUAUUUACAAAUUUACUCAAAACAUAAAAUUGACCGAAACACAGCUUAAAAGAUGUAAAAGAAUUAUUAAAUGAGCAAGUUUAUUAACGUCAUGUUUUGUGACAUGUACAUAUCAUCUAGAUCACAUAAUUAAAAUUGUCAAUAUUUUAAUAAUGAUAAUACCCCUAUAUACGUACCAAAUAUUUUUUUAUAGUAGGUGAGAGAGAACCACCUCUACAUCGCUUUCAAUAUCUAUCUAUUAGACUUUCCAAAAAAACACUAAAAACCUGCCUUUCAAACGACAAGAAUUUCAGGAUAUAUCAUUUUAUAUAUGCUAUCAUAUACCUAAUCCCAUUCCCGCUCUUAAUAGACAACAAUCUCACUUAACCCAACCCAAACCAUACUUGAGACAAAUCAGCCCGAACUAUUCAAAAUAAAUUGAGUUUAACAUAGAAAAGUUGACACAAGUAGAAAUCGUGUGGAUAGAAGUAAUGAAUUGAUAAUUUAACGAAGUUCAUUAAUAAAGAGUUGAAUGACCAUAUUGUUAUAGUUAGAAUAUGUUAGUGAUAUAUAGAUUAAUGUGUUUUUUUCGAAUUUUAAUCACAUAUCUUACGAUUGCAUAUAUGUUUCUAUUUAGAUGCGUUUUUUAAAAACGAAUUACAACAACCAAUAAAAUUUAAAAAAACCACCAAAAUAAAAACAAAACGUGUCUAACUGAGGUUAUUAACUUCUUAAUUACCGUAAGAUAAUGCCAUAUAUGAACAAAGUCCGAUCAGUUAUCAUGAAACAAAUCAUAAUCCACUUUGGCCAACACAAAAAUCAUGAAGCUGUCACUAAUUCUUCUAUCAAUCUUUUUAGUUGCCGCUAAAAUCUGUGUCACGGAAUCAACCGCCCCGCCACCAACAAACCUACCGCUAGCGGGCGAAUGGCUGCCGUUGGCGGACUUGAAGGGAAAGACGGUUACAGAGGUGGCGGAAUCCGCCGUGAAUGACUACAACUCGAAGCUGCCGAAGACGGAGAGUCCGUUGAAGCUCCUGAGCGUGGUCAACGGCGAUGAGAAGAGAUUUAGCGACGGGAAACUCGUUUACCGUCUACAUUUGGAUACUGCAGCUGCAAGCAAUAAUGGCAGCGCAGGAAAAGAGAAGGCGGCGGCGCCCCAGCUGUACGAGGUGGUCGUCGGAGUUGCUGACGGCAAGGCUGGAGAGAAGGUCAAGCAGCUGCUUGCUUUUCUGCCUGUACUAAAUUGAAUCCAGUUGAGUGAUCAGUGUGUUUCUAUUCCAGCUAAGUUAUAGAAAAAUAACCAAUACAAUAUAUAAUAUACAUCCUGCUAAAUUUAAUCAACUUUCUUUUACUUAUUUAAACUUUUAUUUAAGCGUAGCGAAUCAGGUGAAAUCGAAAGUAGAAUUCGUCGAUUUCACUCAAAUUCACGAUUCCACUUAUUUGAAACGAAUCGAAACUGAGUUUUGCCGGUCAAUUGAAUCAAACAUCGAUAUGAGCAAACCAAAACUAAUUUGAGUAGGACAGAACACAAAUUUGAGCAAAUUGAACAUAAAUUUGAGUGAACCAAAUACAUAUUUGAACAAGUCAAAACCGAUUUCUUACUUAUAUUUUCGAAUAAAAUAUUGAAUAAUUUGAUGGAUCCGAGAUUGGGAUUCCAAUUCAACAUGUACUUGGAGAUGAUGUUAUGUAUGCUGUGUUGUUGAUGGUUAUGUAUGUUGUGUUGACUUAACUUUUAGAUUGAUUAUCAUACUAAUUUAAAUAUGGAUAAUAAAUUUAAUUAAAAUUUAUACAUUUAUGUUUUUAUAAAUAUUUAUUAUUAUAAAAAAUUAUGAAAAUUUUACAAUCAAAAUUUAUGUCAUCUUUGGUGUGGGACUGUGGGUAGCAUAAUAUAAUAAUUUUUUAAAUUAGAGAUAUAAUAUUUGUUGGGGGAUGUGAUUGGGCAUGUUUAUCUUCAGCGUGGGCAAUAUUAUUCAACGUCAACACCUUUUCAGCACAGUUUAAGUCAACACCUUUUCAGCCCAGUUUCCAAUUUCCCGGGCCCACGGCCCAUAAACUCCCACAACAAACCGCUGGCGCGCUUAAUUUCCCAAGUGUCGUUUUGUUUCCGAAUAUACCCAUCGGCUCCUCGCAUUUUCCGCCGCGUCACCAAUGGUGCAAUCCGUAAAUUAUCAAACCCCACAAGGCUAAACAUCUAAAUCCGUUUCUUCGUAAUUAUCGGCAUCUCUAUAAGUGCGCCAUCCGCUUCACCUUUCCCCAAUUCACACUUCAAUUUCGUCCCCAUCUCUCAACAAAUUCCAAAUCCCUAAUUUCCAAUCGUCAGGAAAAUGAAGCUGCAGAUCACCGUCCUCACCCUCCUCUUCGCCGUCGGCACGGUAGCAGCCUUGCUCGGUGGGUGGACCGAGAUCAAGGACCGCACCGAUCCGGAUGUCAUAGAGGCGGCUAACUUCGCCGUGGAUCAGCACAACGCCGAAUCCCACACGAAGCUGAAGCUCAAGACUGUGGACAAAGCCGAGUACCAGGUCGUCAAUGGGAAGAACUACAGGCUGAGCCUGACCGUCACCGACUCCGUCGGCGAAAAGAAGAACGCGAUUUCGCAGUACGAGGCGAUUGUCUACGUGCCAGCUGGCAUGGGAGGGGUUAAGAAGACGCUGAAGUCGUUCAAUCCGAAGAAGAAGCAUUAAGUGAGUCUGUGAGUGAGUUUCUGCUGGCUUCUCGCCUUCGUUUGGGGGUUUUCAAGAAUUUGUCCUGGUAAUGUAUAUUGUGUAAUGGAUUUGAGAUGAACGAACGGAAUGAGAUCUGUAUAUGUACGUCGUCUACUAUGUAUUUGGAAAUCGAAUCGGAAGUAAUAAAGAAGAUGAUGAUCUUUGUACUAUUCUCUGGCGAUGUUUGAAGUUUCUGGAUUCUGAGAUUGGGAAGUUUCUGGGUUUUUUUGUUUCGUGGGAAAAUGGCUUUGCGUGAUUUUGGGAGGUGGGAUUAGUUUUUAAUCACGCGGAAAGUGCGGGGGAUUAGGAAGAUUACAACGGCUGCUAGUGACAAAAACGACAAGACGUUUGGAUAUGAAUAAGUUAAUUAGUUAACUCAGUGUUAAAAUUGGUAUUAUGAACAUUACACAAGUUACUACUAUAAACAUAUUGGUUGAUAAAACACAAGCUUUUGAGCUACAAGCUUUACUAUAACUGUAUCGGAGUUUGAUUUAGCUGUCGAUUUUUGAAGAAUGUUUCCUGUCGGCGCCGAUUUCGUAUAGUUUUACUUCGUACUCAUUCGAUCACUCUACUUGUUGAUAUUGAAGAAGAUGCGAAUGCUUUUUAAACCUUUCAAAAUUGAUACAUGCUACCAUUCAUGUCUAGUCACCAACAUUGAAGAGGUAGAUUGACGGGUGAUGAAUACAUCUAAACUUACUUUUUAAAUUAGAGAACUUCAUUUAACGGAGAAAAAAAAAAUAACCGCAAGUUUAUAUAAGUUGAGUAAAGCUACUGAGAUGUGAGGUCUAGUCAUUCCAUAAAGUGUGCGUUUUGAUCGAAGUUGUAACCCAAUUUGCGAUUUUGCUUCCUUUCGUAGGGGUAAAGGUAAACUUAAUCCAUGACACGUGACCCAAUAAGGGCAUAACAGUCUCAAGGCCACGGAAGCGAGCGGUUAUUGAGGAUGUUUGACGAGAGUGAUGUUCUCCGAGAACACAACCGCCGGUUUAGUGUAACCAAAAGCAAUCCUUGCGGCUUUCAUAAUAACUCUUGAUCGUGGAGGAGCAGAGGAAAGUAUCAUUCUUGUAGUUUAUUAUACACUCAUCCGACGGUCGAUAUCGAUGGAGAUUGGGCAUAUUAGAUUGCUUGUAGAGAAAGUGUUGAGAAAGGAGUCAUACUGGAUUUGCCUUGUUUGUUUGAUGCUCCCACUCUCACGAGUCGUGUGUGUGGAAGUUAACGAGGUGGGAAUGCACAUGGCUACAACUUUACAAUAAUUGUAUCCGUCACGGCCUACAACUAUACACACAAGACAGACAAAAGAGCAAUCGUUUUGGCGGAACACGAAGAGAUAUCCGUGACUUUCUUUGUUCUACUCUCUUAUUUAACUACGAUGAUGAAAACGACUUGGUCUCUUGUGGGCCUGUGUUGGGCUCUAGCUUGGGCUUUCUAGAUAGGUGGGUUUCGGCUUCUUAUAGGCGGGCUGAGGCCCAAGAGAUUUCUUAGCCGAGUAUACUCAGAUUGUAAUGACUACUUGUAGAGCCCAUGGACCAUGAGAUUCCUUUCCUUCGGCCCUGUAACAGCUUGAUAGUAAUAAUGUCGUCAUAUAUGUAUCAUAAACCCCAAGUCUGAAAUUCAUGGCCAUCCAUCGAGUUGUGAUUAUAGUUAAUGUUCGUCUUGAUGACUCUAUCAUUAUUUAUUUCGAUUCAGCCGAAGCAUUUCGUCUUAUCAACUUAGCAACAGUUAUUUGAAUAGGUUAAUUGUUUCAUGAAUGUCGUUCCUUCAAACUCUCACUUUCAUUGGUUAUUAUUAGUUAGAUCCUGUAUGUAGAUAACCGCGCCGCCCAUUUUGUGACACGUGAGGCUCUUCAUUAUCCUACACUACCACAUUUCUUCUCACUUUUACAUGUUCUUUAACCACUUUUGUAAUCUUCUAUCGUUGUUACCACGAACUGAUACUUAUGAAUAAAAAAAGGUCAUAUGUUUAUUAUGUAUUCUAAAUAUCCACACUAUAGAUUUAGUAUGUCUCUUAAUGAUUGCACCACUAUUAAGACAUAGAAUCAUGUAUAUAAGAUAUCUGUAACACAACAAACAUAACUAUAUGCGUAACAAGCACACAUCAGCCUUCAACCUCAGACUUAAACCCAAAUGAAAUAGUCUCAAACAUUUUACAUGUAGGCAUCUCUAUUAAAGCAUUAUAACAUCUCAAAGCUCGCUCAAUGCCAGUGUUACCUCUUCAAGCCUUCUCAUGCUCUUAAUUGAAAUCUCCCAACUAGAUCAAUUUGCAUAUAAAUUGUUGAUUAAUAACCCUAUCCUUUUAUAUAAAAAACGACAUACAUUUUUAUAAACAAUAUAACAAACCUUUCUCACCAAUUCUUAAACUCUCUUUUAAUUUGAUUGUUUACCCAACUUGAUUGUCGAAUAAAAAAUCUGAACAAUCUAUAAAUAUAUUCAANNNNNNNNNNNNNNNNNNNNNNNNNNNNNNNNNNNNNNNNNNNNNNNNNNNNNNNNNNNNNNNNNNNNNNNNNNNNNNNNNNNNNNNNNNNNNNNNNNNNNNNNNNNNNNNNNNNNNNNNNNNNNNNNNNNNNNNNNNNNNNNNNNNNNNNNNNNNNNNNNNNNNNNNNNNNNNNNNNNNNNNNNNNNNNNNNNNNNNNNNNNNNNNNNNNNNNNNNNNNNNNNNNNNNUCGUUCUUGAACCCCUAGCCCUUUCUCCGAUAUGGCUUCUUCGGCUGCCCAGAUUCAUGUCCUCGGAGCCAUGGGCUUCAGCAGCUCCUCAUCGAAGAAACCCACCUUCUCUUUCGCCCCCAAGGCGGCGUUUUUGAGAUACAGCGGCGGAGCCCGGAAGAGGAGCUACGGUCCCUUGAGGGUGGCGUGCGAGAAAGUGGUUGGGAUUGACCUUGGCACGACGAAUUCUGCUGUGGCGGCCAUGGAAGGUGGGAAGCCGACGAUUGUGACCAACGCUGAAGGUCAACGGACGACUCCCUCGGUGGUGGCGUACACGAAGAACGGGGAUAGGCUUGUGGGUCAGAUUGCUAAAAGGCAAGGGGUUGUGAACCCUGAGAACACUUUCUUCUCCGUGAAGAGGUUUAUUGGGAGGAAGAUGUUGGAGGUUGAUGAGGAGUCCAAGCAGGUUUCUUAUAAGGUGGUGAGGGAUGAUAAUGGGAACGUGAAGUUGGAUUGUCCUGUUUUGGGGAAGCAGUUUGCUGCUGAAGAGAUUUCAGCUCAGGUAUUCAUUUGGUUUUGUUGGGUUUUUGUUGAAUUUACUACUGUUAGCUCACUGGAUUCUAAUAACUAAUGCAUUUCAAUCAUUUGAGUUGUUUGGAGAUGUUUAGAAUUGGUUUAUGCAACGUUCCGUAACAAUUGUGUUGUCUUGAAUGGUUUGAUUGAGUGGCCGAAGAACCUUUUUUACUUUGUUUUGAGAGCUGAUAUUGGGAAAUGGAUGUUGCUUGCUGCUUGUUUUUCAUUUGCAUGUCCAGUUUAAAGUUUUGGGUUUGAAUGCUAGAUAACUUUCACUUGGGUUUACCUCCAGUUGUUAUGUAGAAAGGGUUUCUUUUCCAGAAGGGGGUAGUUUAUCUAGAUCGAAGUUUUGGUUUCCUUGCUGGCAAAAGUACUUGAAUGAACAUUGGUAUUCAUGUAGUAAUUUCUUUGGGAUUCAGGUUCUGAGAAAGCUAGUGGACGAUGCUUCGAAGUUUCUGAACGAUAAAGUGACGAAAGCUGUUGUCACGGUCCCUGCUUACUUCAAUGACUCUCAGAGGACAGCUACAAAGGAUGCUGGUCGAAUUGCAGGGCUGGAAGUCCUCCGUAUCAUCAACGAGCCUACUGCUGCUUCGUUGGCUUAUGGUUUCGAGAAGAAGAAUAACGAGACAAUCCUAGUGUUCGACCUUGGUGGUGGCACCUUUGAUGUUUCAGUUCUUGAGGUUGGUGAUGGAGUUUUUGAAGUGCUGUCCACCUCCGGAGACACACACUUGGGAGGAGAUGAUUUCGACAAGGUUUGGAGACACAUCUCUUACUGUUUUGU
rnacentral:lncRNA from 1 species